CCGGUAUCAGACGAAGCGAGUGUAUAUUCACGACUCACGUUUCGUGGAAUUUUAUAGCAAAUGGGAUCUGUCACACUGAACGUUGGUGAGCCCGUCUCGGGUGCCGCCAUAUUCCGGGGACUCGGAACUUCGGAGGUUUCCUGGGUAUGAGAGUUUCGGGUCUCGUUCUUUCUGCCAACGGAACGGCUGGUGAUAAGAAGUGCGCGACGCGACUAGUGACUUUAACCUUUUGCCUUUGCCUUUUACCUUAAUAGUGUUUCGUAAGUGAAUUCUUGGAUUUUUGCGUCCGCUUUCUUAAAUACAGUUCACUUUAACAUACAAUAAGCAGCGUCCAAUAAGACGCUUU